AGGAGUCCCAGACUUGNAAAUCGUGGCGCCCCGGCGCCUCGAAUUGUAGUCUGGAGAAGGUCCCUCUGCGGCGCGCCGGAUUCAAGUUCCCUGGAAUGGGACGUCCGAGAGGGUGAGAACCCCGUCGUAUCCGGAGUGCGUCGCUCCACGAGGACCUGUCUGCGAGUCGGGCUGUUUGGGAAUGCAGCCCUAAGCGGGUGGUAAAUUCCAUCCAAGGCUAAAUAUUGGCAAGAGACCGAUAGCGAACAAGUACCGCGAGGGAAAGAUGAAAAGGACUUUGAAAAGAGAGUUAAAAAGUGCUUGAAAUUGCUGGGAGGGAAGCGAAUGGAAGCUGCGGGUGCGCCCCGGUUGGAUGUGGAACGGCCGUCAAACGCUGGUCCGCCGCUCAACGCGGGGCGCUGGUCAGCGUGGGCCAUCGCGGCGGGACAAGAGCGGGGAUUCGCUUCCCGCCGAUGCCGCUGCGGUGGCCGAGGAACGAAGCGCGCGCCUUCCGGCGUGGGACUCGUCCCAACUGCGCGCUCGAGACGCUGGCGUAUUGAGCUCUUCAUCCGACCCGUCUUGAAACACGGACCAAGGAGUCUAACAUGUAUGCGAGCCGGUGGGCGGCAAACCCAUUGAGGCGCAAGUAACCUGACAGGUGGGACC
rnacentral:rRNA from 1 species